GGACGCUGGCGGCAGGCCUAACACAUGCAAUUCGGGCGGUGUACACAUAAGCUUGCUUUUUGGGUGACGAGCGGCGGACGGGUGAGUAAUGUCUGGGAAACUGCCUGAUGGAGGGGGAUAACUACUGGAAACGGUAGCUAAUACCGCAUAACCUCGCAAGAGCAAAGAGGGGGACCUUCGGGCCUCUCGCCAUCAGAUGUGCCCAGAUGGGAUUAGCUAGUAGGUGAGGUAAUGGCUCACCUAGGCGACUAUCCCUAGCUGGUCUGAGAGGAUGACCAGCCCCACUGGAACUGAGACACGGUCCAGACUCCUACGGGAGGCAACAGUGGGGAAUAUUGCACAAUGGGCGCAAGCCUGAUGCAACCAUGCCGCGUGUGUGAACAAGGCCUUCGGGUUGUAAACCACUUUCAGCGAGGAGGAAGGCGGUAAGGUUAAUAACCUUAUCGAUUGACGUUACUCGCAGAAGAAGCACCGGCUAACUCCGUGCCAGCAGCCGCGGUAAUACGGAGGGUGCAAGCGUUAAUCGGAAUGACUGGGCGUAAAGCGCACGCAGGCGGUCUGUUAAGUUGGAUGUGAAAUCCCCGGGCUUAACCUGGGAACUGCAUUCAAAACUGACAGGCUAGAGUCUUGUAGAGGGGGGUAGAAUUCCAGGUGUAGCGGUGAAAUGCGUAGAGAUCUGGAGGAAUACCGGUGGCGAAGGCGGCCCCCUGGACAAAGACUGACGCUCAGGUGCGAAAGCGUGGGGAGCAAACAGGAUU
rnacentral:rRNA from 1 species